ACGAACGCUGGCGGCGUGCUUAACACAUGCCAGUCGAACGGAAAGGCCCUGCUUUUGUGGGGUGCUCGAGUGGCGAACGGGUGAGUAACACGUGAGUAACCUGCCCUUGACUUUGGGAUAACUUCAGGAAACUGGGGCUAAUACCGGAUAGGAGCUCCUGCUGCAUGGUGGGGGUUGGAAAGUUUCGGCGGUUGGGGAUGGACUCGCGGCUUAUCAGCUUGUUGGUGGGGUAGUGGCUUACCAAGGCUUUGACGGGUAGCCGGCCUGAGAGGGUGACCGGCCACAUUGGGACUGAGAUACGGCCCAGACUCCUACGGGAGGCAGCAGUGGGGAAUAUUGCACAAUGGGCGGAAGCCUGAUGCAGCAACGCCGCGUGCGGGAUGACGGCCUUCGGGUUGUAAACCGCAUUCGCCUGUGACGAAGCGUGAGUGACGGUAAUGGGUAAAGAAGCACCGGCUAACUACGUG
rnacentral:rRNA from 1 species